CAUUCAUCUCCAAGGUGAGGAAUGUGGCGCCUGCAGCCUGACAGGUCAGACCCGAGGACCAGCAGGGCAGAAGAACCAGAACCUUCCUCAGAAAUGUCCCCGAUGAGAGACCCAGAACGUCUUCAGGUGUGAGCUUUCCCUGACCAGCAGAUGAUCAGAACCAGCUGAGGUCAGGAGAACCGGAACCACAGUGAUACUGUCAGAUAUGAAACAGGAGAUGUUCCUGACUCGGACUCUGGUGGAAACCAAGUUUAUCUAAGAACACAGGCCUGAUGGGUCAGACCCGGAACCUGCUGUCUGAGGCGCGGGAAAACCAGCAGUUCCCCAGGAGGCAGAAACCGGAACCACGUCUCCAUCCGCUCCGUUCUCAAGCAUUUAACGGAUCCAAAUGGUGCCGUUUGCGGGUCAGAAACCAGAAACCGUUCUUCACCUGAGGAACGCCUGCUGUUCCAGACCGGAACCGACUGGUCCAAUUAAAGGAUCUCAGGAAUCAA